AAAGGAAGUUUCCGGAGCUGAGCAGCUUUUCAGGAGCUCCAUGGCCAGUUCACCUCCCCAUUCUGACACCUAACGCCGUGAGGCUCCGUCCUUGAAGAGAUGUAACAUGUUCUGGAGAAGAUGUCAAGGGUCACUUCGAAGUGUGCACAGAUUCUGCUCACAAUCUCGAGACACAGCAAACUCUCCCCACCCGAGAAGAGGAUGGGAUGAGGCACACUGAAGAGGUAGGGAGGAGGAGAGGAAAGAAAACUGAUCCUGUAGCCACAGAAAAACAGGACUGAGACCAGGAAGGGCAAGUCGUGUGUGUCAGCAUUGUGGACCUUUAUAUAAAUAAUAAUUUUCCAGUGGGAACUGUGAUCUCUUCUUGUCUCUUCUAUUUUUAAAUGCUAAUUACUUCUGAUUUUGUUUACGUAGGCGGAGCUAAUAAGAACAUUUGCUUCAUAACCAUUGAACCUAAUGUAUCUGUUUUUGGACACUGGUGAUUUAUUUUUGCACACAUGCUCCA
rnacentral:lncRNA from 1 species